ensembl:rRNA 5S_rRNA 5S ribosomal RNA
GUGUACAGCCAUACCAACCUGAAUGCACCCAAUCUCAUCUGAUCUCCGAAGCUAAGCAGCUUUGGGUCCGGUUAGUGUUUGGAAGGGAGAAAAAGGGGCUUUAGCACU